GGUUUAUUAGUUCGGAUUGAUUAGAACAUUGUGCUAAUAAUGCGAAAAUAAUAGGUUCGAUUCUUAUUUGAACCA
rnacentral:tRNA from 1 species